rnacentral:lncRNA from 1 species
AGAUAAGUGGCGGAGCAGGGGUUAGAACCCAGGUCUCCUGACGCCCGAGCCUGGCGUCGCUACCCACCGGGCCACGCUGCUUCUCGGCCCUGAGAGGGGCCCCUCCCUGCUCAGGAAGAAAAGGCUCACGGGACCCGGCAGCCUCCGGCGCUCGCUGCCUCCUCGUAGAGCUGGGAGCCAGGAUUCUCCCCCAUACCAGCUCCGCGGAGCGGGCUGGAGGCAGCCGGUCCACAGGGCUCAACCGGCUGCCGGCCCUCGAGGUUUCUGUUGCGGUUGUCGGUCCUCCCUCCCUCCUCUCGCUUCAGGGGAGGUAGAGGAAGACAGGACGGCUUACCUCGGCCAGGGCCUUGUGUACCAGCGGUGGGUCGGCAGCUCGGCCGCCUCCGAGGCUUUGAGCCAUCUUGGCUUCUUGUGUUUCGGGAGCAUUCUUCUCCCCAGAAGGAGCCACCUCGUGGGCCUUGGAAUGCGGCCAUCUCUGGGGAGGGGCCCCGGGCAGCUGUUUCCAGAACUGUACGGCCCCAGAAGGAGGAAUGAGGAAGAAAGGAAAUGUCCAGAUCGUGGAGUAAGAGCCGUAAAACCAGAAGUGCCACAAUCCAUGGAAAGCCAGACACCGCAUUGUUUCAGUGAAACCACCAAGUCUAUCUGAAAGCUUGUUUUUACCGUUGAUUGGAAGUGGUGAAGGUUUCUGAUACGAACGCAGUGGCUAGGAGCAGCAGUGCUGUCUGUGGCAGACGGACGCUUUCGAUUUUAAUCAUGAGUGGCGGAAGGAAGCGGCCGGGGCUGGAGAAUCGAGCUGGAGAAAAAGUGACAGGGAAAGGACUGUCGUGAUAGAAUUGAUGUCAGAGAUCUCCUGUGGCAUCAUCAACACCUUUCCUGAGAGAAUGGUGAGAUAUCAGUCUGGUCAACCCUUCGAGAUCAUAAUGGAAUGGACAAUUUAUGGUAAUUAAAAAUUUAAUGAUGAUUUAACAUUUUAUAAGGAGUGAUAAUAAUAAUAGUGGUAUUUGUUAAGCUCUAUGUGCCAGGCACUGUACUGAACACUGGGGUAGAUACAAACUAAUGAGGUUGAACACAGUCCCUGUCCCACAGUCUUAAUCCCCAUUUUAUAGAUGAGGUAAUGAAGGCACAGAGAAGUGGAGUGACUUGCCCAAGGUCACACAGCAGACAAGUGGCAGAGCUGGGAUCAAAAUCCAGAACCUUCUGAUUCCCAGGACUGGACUCUAUCCCCUAGGCCACGCUGCUUCUCCACACGAUGAUAAGUUUAGCACCAGUAAGCGCCUUGUGGAGAGAGUAGACAUUUUGGACUUCUACUGUACUUUCCCAAGCAUUUAGUGCAGCAUGUUGUACCCAG